AGUUGAAGUGAAGUGAACAAAGAAGAGAAGAAUCUUCGGAUUCGGAUCUAAUGCGUUGACUCUUUCCAAAGUCAAUGUAUGGGUAUUCAUUUAUCUAUAUAUUGUGUUUGGUCGUUUACUGUGAGAAAAUUAGAGUGUUCAAAGCAGACGUUUGUUUGAAUACAUUAGCAUGGAAUAAUCAUAUAAGGCUUUCAUGUGUAUUUGAUUGGUUUGGAUAUGAAAGCAAGGUUAAUAGGGACAGUUGGGGGUAUUCAUAUUCAAUAGUCAGAGGUGAAAUUCUCGGAUUUAUGGAAGAUGAACAAAUGCGAAA
rnacentral:rRNA from 1 species